UACGGGGGGAGCAAGCGUUGUUCGGAUUACUGGGCGUAAAGGGCGGCGUAGGCGGCCUUCUAAGUCGAACGUGAAAUCCCUGGGACUCAACCCAGGAACUGCGUCCGAUACUGGGAGGCUUGAAUCCGGGAGAGGGAUGCGGAAUUCCAGGUGUAGCGGUGAAAUGACGUAGAUAUCUGGAGGAACACCGGUGGCGAAGGCGGCAUCCUGGACCGGUAUUGACGCUGAGGCGCGAAAGCCAGGGGAGCAAAGCGGGG
rnacentral:rRNA from 1 species